rnacentral:lncRNA from 1 species
AAGUGACUUGCCCCAGAUCAUGCAGUUGGCAGAAGCACCAGGAUAUUUUCAUUCCCAAUACACCAAACACUUGGAAAAGUAACAAAAAAAGGGUAACUGAGAGAAGAAAAGGUGGUGAAAAGAGAAAGUGAGAAGUAGAGAAAGUCAUAGUGAGGAAAUAGGUUUAAAAAAAAAAAAGCAAAUAGAGAGUUGCCAACAGUAUUCUCUGUUUCAGAACAUGCUCUUCUUGGAUGCAUGCCACACUGGAUUUUAAACUAUGAGCUUCUGGGAAACCCUAAGCCCUGGAAUGAUGUUGGCAAAACCCCUUGGGUCUCUGGGAUGGCUUUUGUUUCUUCUUAACCCUGAGAAUGGAGUCCAGGCUGGAGAGGUCGCAUGCAGAUGCUGGAGAAGGAGGAAGGUUUGAAGAGGAAACUUGCUGUUACCCCAACUAAGAGGGCAGAGCUGCAGCUCAGACAGCCCUAGGAGCCGGAACUGCAGGAGGUUCUUGGAAGAUGCUGGAUCAGAGUAUGGAGAGCUAAGGGGUGGGCAGGCCCCUCACCCACCCCACUCCCAAGGGACUGCAUUCAGGCCUGCUGCACACAGACAGGGCUUUUGGGGACAGUCAGUGUAAGCCUGAGAAGAAGCCACAGCCAGCCGAGGACUCUGACAGACGGCUGUCAAGGGCAGAUUGGGUGCACAGGAAAGAUUAUUCAGAGGUUACUUUGACUUCGAAAUUAAUAUUCCAUUUAUUAAAAAAAUCCAGCUCUUUGUGCAACAUUUAAAUUCAGCUUACAGAUCUUAUUAUUCUAUUUAUAGUUCUAGCAAUCAUUAACAAUAGCUUUUUAAAAGGACUUUGAUUAACAUUAGGUCUCAUUUACAAACUUAGUCUAACUUCUUCUAAUAUUUUAAGUUGCAUUUAUAUGUUAAAUUAUUAAAUAUACUUAAUUUUCCCAGAUGUUUGACUUAACAAAAAUGCUUCUUCCCUAUGUACUUGAGUAACACUGACAGAUCUAAUAAAUUAAGCUUAUAAUAA